rnacentral:rRNA from 1 species
ACGCACGCUGGCGGCGUGCUUAACCCAUGCAAGUCGAGCGGUAAGGCCUUUCGGGGUACACGAGCGGCGAACGGGUGAGUAACACGUGGGUGAUCUGCCCUGCACUUCGGGAUAAGCCUGGGAAACUGGGUCUAAUACCGGAUAUGACCUCCUAUCGCAUGGUGGGUGGUGGAAAGAUUUAUCGGUGCAGGAUGGGCCCGCGGCCUAUCAGCUUGUUGGUGGGGUAAUGGCCUACCAAGGCGACGACGGGUAGCCGACCUGAGAGGGUGACCGGCCACACUGGGACUGAGACACGGCCCAGACUCCUACGGGAGGCAGCAGUGGGGAAUAUUGCACAAUGGGCGAAAGCCUGAUGCAGCGACGCCGCGUGAGGGAUGACGGCCUUCGGGUUGUAAACCUCUUUCAGCAGGGACGAAGCGCAAGUGACGGUACCUGCAGAAGAAGCACCGGCUAACUACGUG